rnacentral:tRNA from 1 species
GCCUGGGUGGCUCAGUCUGUUGAGCGUCUGAUUUCGGCUCAGGUAAUGAUCUGUGAGUUCGAGCCCGCGUCAGGCU